rnacentral:lncRNA from 1 species
AAAUUCAGAUUUAAUUAUACCCUUUUUUCGGCAUUAUGAUGGCAUCGAGAAACAGAGCUCCUCCGUCUCCUACUUAUUCUUCAUCAUCGAUUCCACCUCCUCCUCCUCCUCAUCAUCUUAGGGAGGAAAUUAACGACGACAGUGAGAACAAAAUGUCUGGGUAUCAGAAAUCGAAGAUCAUGAGCAACGGUAAUGCGAGGGCUAGGAUUCUGACGAGUGGCUAU